rnacentral:rRNA from 1 species
AACGUAGUACGCAAGCGUUAUCCGGAGUUACUGGGCGUAAAGCGCGGGCAGGCGGCUCGAUGCGUCUGAUGUGAAAUCUCCUCGCUCAACGGGGAGAGGCCAUUGGAAACGGUCGAGCUGGAGGGCAGUAGAGGCAGGCGGAAUUCCGGGUGGAGUGGUGAAAUGCGUAGAGAUCCGGAGGAACACCAGAGGCGAAGGCGGCCUGCUGGGCUGCACCUGACGCUGAGCCGCGAAAGCCAGGGGAGCGAACGGG